CAUGUUGUAGCAUGUGUUAGAAUCCCCUUUUUUUUGCCAUCUGAGUAACAUUCCAUCAUAUCAUAUCAUUCCACAUUUUGCUGGUCCAUUCUUCUUUUGAUGGACACUUGGGUUGCUUUCUUUUGACUCUUGUGAAUAAUGCCACGAUGAACAUGGGUGUGCAAAUAUGUAAUGCUGCGAUGAACAUGGGUGUGCAAAUGUCUCAAGGCCCUGCUUUCACUUCUUUUAGAAUUCUACCCAGAAGUGGAGUUGCUGGACCAGGUAGUAAUUCCGUGUCACUUUUGAAGACCACCAUAUUAUUUUCUGCAGCAGCAGCUGACUUGACUUUUUUUAAUGGAGACAGGAGACAGUUAACAUGAUGUUAACUGAACAGAUCCCAUGCCCAGCACAGGGUGAAGAGUGCUGAAGAAGCAGACACCUGCCCUCUGUGGCUGGGGAUACAAAUAAUAAUAAA
rnacentral:lncRNA from 10 species